CUCUGCUGCUGCUGUUGGUGUCAGAGUGUUGCUGUGAAUAUAAAAAGCUGCGUAUUAAACCUUGUGCACCACCGACUCCUAAACCAAACGGCACCUUUAAGCAAUAAGAACUUCUGGAAAAAAGAAGCGGAGAAGAAGACUGGGCAGAACAGAAGAGCAGAGGGGCCAGUGGGGAGUUUGAGGAAGAGAAUUGAGAAGAUUUAGGUGUUUGUUGGGAAGGAUGUUGUCACCCAUAACACACCGACCCCUGUUUCAGUUGAUCAUUAUUGUUUUGCAAUUUGGGUCAUCCAAUGUUCACAACUCAGGGGAUCUUGAAGGAUUUCAAGCAGAUGGACAUAAUGUCAGAUUUAUGGUCUCGUCAGUAUCACCAGUGUCUGCUCCUUUUUCUUCCGAUGCCACUUUACAUUGCAGUCUGGUUCCUGAGAUGAACGCGGAGAAAAUGUUAAUUGUCUGGUUCAGAAAUAUAUACCCCCCCUAUGUGCACAUGUACAAUAGAGGAGAAGAAGACAAGUUAAAGCAGAUGGAGCAGUUUGCUCACAGAACCAAACUCCUGAAACAGAACAUCACUAGAGGAGCAGUGGCUUUACUUAUUCAGAACGUCACAUUUGAAGAUUGUGGAGCCUACUAUUGUUACUUUGAAUCUGAUGAUCAUCAUGGCAGAGGAACUGUUGAGUUAAAUGUCACUGAACCACACCCAAUUCAGGACCACCAAUCAGGGGCUCCAAAAGGUCUAUCAAGAAACUAAAUGUGAGAUUCAGUCUAGGAGGAAAAUGCAACCAGAUUUAUGAUAUUCUUCAUCAUAAACUGAAAUAUGCAGCCAAGUUGGGAGAAGGUAGAUGGAGUCUUGGUAGAUAACCAGGCUGAGUCCCUAAUUUGGAAUGGAGGACCAGAAAUCAAGAAAUCUUCUCCAGAGACCCGCAGCCGUGGACGCAUUCUUAUCGGCCAUAGCAGCAGCAACAACCUCAUCCCUGGUUUA